AUUGAACGCUGGCGGCAGGCCUAACACAUGCAAGUCGAGCGAGCGGAGGACGGGUGAGUAAUGUAUGGGGACUGCCCGCUAGAGGGGGAUAACUACUGGAAACGGUAGCUAAUACCGCAUACUAUUGGAUAAUCCAUAUGGGAUUAGCUAGUAGGUGAGGUAAUGGCUCCCCUAGGCGACGAUCCAUACCUGGUCUGAGAGGAUGAUCAGCCACACAGGGACUGAGACACGGCCCAGACUCCUACGGAGGCAGCAGUGGGGAAUAUUGCACAAUGGGCGCAAGCCUGAUGCAGCCAUGCCGCGUGUGUGAAGAAGGCCCUAGGGUUGUAAAGUACUUUCAGUAGGGAGGCGGUACCGACAGAAGAAGCACCGGCUAACUACGUGCCAGCAGCCGCGGUAAUUC
rnacentral:rRNA from 1 species